AACGAACGCUGGCGGCAGGCUUAACACAUGCAAGUCGAACGCAUCCUUCGGGGUGAGUGGCAGACGGGUGAGUAACGCGUGGGAACGUGCCCUUCAGUUCGGGAUAACCCAGGGAAACUUGGGCUAAUACCGGAUACGUGCGAGAGCAGAAAGAUUUAUCGCGGAAGGAUCGGCCCGCGUCUGAUUAGCUAGUUGGUGGGGUAAUGGCCCACCAAGGCGACGAUCAGUAGCUGGUCUGAGAGGAUGAUCAGCCACAUUGGGACUGAGACACGGCCCAAACUCCUACGGGAGGCAGCAGUGGGGAAUAUUGGACAAUGGGCGCAAGCCUGACCCAGCCAUGCCGCGUGAGUGAUGAAGGCCUUAGGGUUGUAAAGCUCUUUCGUCCGGGACGAUAAUGACGGUAACGGAAGAAGAAGCCCCGGCUAACUUCGUGCCAGCCGCCGCCGUAA
rnacentral:rRNA from 1 species